rnacentral:rRNA from 1 species
CCUACGGGGUGCAGCAGUGAGGAAUAUUGGUCAAUGGACGAGAGUCUGAACCAGCCAAGUAGCGUGAAGGAUGACUGUCCUAUGGGUUGUAAACCUCUUUUAUAUGGGAAUAAAACGUUCCACGUGUGGGCUUUUGUAUGUACCAUAUGAAUAAGGAUCGGCUAACUCCGUGCCAGCAGCCGCGGUAAUACGGAGGAUCCGAGCGUUAUCCGGAUUUAUUGGGUUUAAAGGGUGCGUAGGUGGAUUGUUAAGUCAGUUGUGAAAGUUUGCGGCUCAACCGUAAAAUGGCAGUUGAAACUGGAAGUCUUGAGUACAGUAGAGGUGGGCGGAAUUCGGGGUGUGGCGGUGAAAUGCUUAGAUAUCACGAAGAACUCCGAUUGCGAAGGCAGUUGACUGGACUGCAACUGACACUGAGGCUCGAAGGUGUGGGUAUCAAACAGAAUUGGAUACCCUGUAGUC